rnacentral:rRNA from 1 species
UACGAAGGGUGCAAGCGUUACUCGGAAUUACUGGGCGUAAAGCGUGCGUAGGUGGUUUGUUAAGUCUGUUGUGAAAGCCCCGGGCUCAACCUGGGAAUGGCAAUGGAUACUGGCAGGCUAGAGUGCGGUAGAGGGUAGUGGAAUUCCCGGUGUAGCGGUGAAAUGCGCAGAUAUCAGGAGGAACACCAGCGGCGAAGGCGGCGCCUCUGGGCCGGAGUGACUGACGCUGAGGAGCGAAAGCGUGGGGAGCGAACAGG